UCCCUUUAUGGAAACAGACGCCAUUUUGGUAUCACGUUGCUAAGAAUGUUUCCCGGAUUCAUGUUUCACUGAUACUUUUAUGGUAAUGAUAAUUGAUGGAAUACUUGAAAUCAUAUCCCAAUAGUUAAUAUUGUUUGAAUACUGUUACCCGUAGCUAUAAGCUGCCACAAGCACACAUAGUGAAAUUACAAAGCCCUAUGUUCAUGUGUAUGAAUUUGGUAAGACGUUGCUAACGAUCUUCUUUCGAGUCCUUCAUUUUGCUUGAAGAGUCUUGUUGCUAUACACUGCGAUUUGUUGCCGUCAUUUUACGACUGUGUUUGCCUCACCCAAGUGUUUCCUUGUCGCCUGCAGAGUAACACCUGACUCAAGCUCCACCAGCCUCAGCCCAAGAUGCAUUGACAGCUGUUCUGAUCUCAGCCUUAGCUACAGCGAUGACAAGCUCAGCCAAACCACAAGCUCCACCAGUCUUGUGUCUGUUCAUCAGUCAGAGAGCAUCAUCAGUAUCAGCAGCCCAGAGAGUGUUAUCUCCAUCAGCAGCUCAGAGAGCGUCAUCUCCAUUAGCAGCUCUGAGAAUGCCAUCUCCAUCAGAUCACACUCUGUCAUUUCUGUUGCCAGCUCAUCUUCAUGCGAUGAGAAAUCAGCACAGGCCUUCACCAACCCAUUCCAGCCUUCUCCCUCCCAGUCUGUCAAUCUGCAGACCCUGUUCUACCAUGACCUGCCCUACUACCAGUGGACCUCCUUCUCCAACCCAGCCAGCCCCUCCAUCAGCUUCACGGACCUCCUCCUCCCUGCUACAUCUGUCAGCUGUUCUGAGACCCCGCUCACUGAGACCCCAUGCUGCAGCUCCUUCAACUACUCUCCUGUGACUGGAUCCAUGCUUGUCAUCAGGGAUGUGGCAGACAGAAAGAGGAAGAGAGAUGAUGAUGGUGAUGAUGAUGGAUUGCCUCUAAAGAGGCAGUGUCAGUAAGUGGGUUGACUGGUAAGUUGGUUCAACAGGUAUCAGUAAAACAUUCUGUUGAGCCCAUAUUCCAUACAUUGUACAUACUCAUUCUUAUUGUGUUAUAUCCAUAUAAAGUCAUACUCUGUCAUUGCACUCAGGCCACCCCAAUACUGAUUCCUCUAUGAUUCUUCAUUAGAUCAUAGCAGACAUUCCAACCCUGUCCGGUCAUUUUCCCUUCCUCUACCAACGCCGAUCUAUGCUUAUCUCAUGACACCCUGGCGACCUUGCGUUCCAUUCAGCCCCGAAGCCUACCCAUCUACCCACCCACCAACGCCCACACCCCCCUGGCCAGCAUUUAGCCCAUGUCAACACAUUUUCAUGUCAACUGAAAUUAUCAUACUUGCCUGAUAUGAUUUUAUCUUUCAGAAACUAAGAUUAUAAGCAGAUACAAUAUGAAGGUUAUCUAUGUAACAAAUUAUUCGAAUAGUUAUAUUUGAAAAUAUGAUAGACGGUUAGGAGGGAAAUGUAGCUUGCGUAGUUCAUAUUUGAGUAUAUUCAAUAAAUGAAGAAAUAAUA